rnacentral:rRNA from 1 species
UACGGAGGGUGCAAGCGUUAUCCGGAUUCACUGGGUUUAAAGGGUGCGUAGGCGGGCAGGUAAGUCCGUGGUGAAAUCUCUGAGCUUAACUCAGAAAACUGCCAUGGAUACUAUUUGUCUUGAAUAUUGUGGAGGUAAGCGGAAUAUGUCAUGUAGCGGUGAAUGCUUAGAUAUGACAUAGAACACCAAUUGCGAAGGCAGCUUACUACACAGUUAUUGACGCUGAGGCACGAAAGCGUGGGAUCAAACAGG